CACGUAGGGGACGAGCGUUGUCCGGAUUCAUUGGGCGUAAAGCGCGCGUAGGCGGCUCGGAAAGUCGAACGUGAAAUCCCUGGGCUCAACCCAGGAACUGCGUCCGAUACUGGAAGGCUUGAAUCCGGGAGAGGGAUGCGGAAUUCCAGGUGUAGCGGUGAAAUGCGCAGAUAUCGGGAGGAACACCAAUGGCGAAGGCAGCUUGCUGGGACGGUACUGACGCUGAGGCGCGAAAGCGUGGGGAGCAAACAGG
rnacentral:rRNA from 1 species